GCGAAUGGUGGAUGCCUUGACUGGUAAAGGCGAUGAAGGACGUACUAGACUGCGAUAAGCUACGGGGAGCUGUCAAGAAGCUUUGAUCCGUAGAUUUCCGAAUGGGGCAACCCAAUGUAUAGAGAUAUACAUUACCUAUAUAGGAGCGAACGAGGGGAAUUGAAACAUCUUAGUACCCUCAGGAAAAGAAAUCAAUAGAGAUUGCGUCAGUAGCGGCGAGCGAAAGCGCAAGAGGGCAAACCCAGUGCUUGCACUGGGGGUUGUAGGACUGCAAUGUGCAAGAGCUGAGUUUAGCAGAACAUUCUGGAAAGUAUAGCCAUAGAGGGUGAUAGUCCCGUAUGCGAAAAACAAAGCUUAGCUAGCAGUAUCCUGAGUAGGGCGGGACACGAGGAAUCCUGUCUGAAUCCGGGUCGACCACGAUCCAACCCUAAAUACUAAUACCAGAUCGAUAGUGCACAAGUACCGUGAGGGAAAGGUGAAAAGAACUGAGGUGAUCAGAGUGAAAUAGAACCUGAAACCAUUUGCUUACAAUCAUUCAGAGCACUAUGUAGCAAUACAGUGUGAUGGACUGCCUUUUGCAUAAUGAGCCUGCGAGUUGUGGUGUCUGGCAAGGUUAAGCAAACGCGAAGCCGUAGCGAAAGCGAGUCUGAAUAGGGCGCUUAGUCAGAUGCUGCAGACCCGAAACGAAGUGAUCUAUCCAUGAGCAAGUUGAAGCUAGUGUAAGAACUAGUGGAGGACUGAACCCAUAGGCGUUGAAAAGCCCCGGGAUGACUUGUGGAUAGGGGUGAAAGGCCAAUCAAACUUCGUGAUAGCUGGUUCUCUCCGAAAUAUAUUUAGGUAUAGCGUUGUGUCGUAAUAUAAGGGGGUAGAGCACUGAAUGGGCUAGGGCAUACACCAAUGUACCAAACCCUAUCAAACUCCGAAUACCUUAUAUGUAAUCACAGCAGUCAGGCGGCGAGUGAUAAAAUCCGUCGUCAAGAGGGAAACAACCCAGACUACCAGCUAAGGUCCCUAAAUCUUACUUAAGUGGAAAACGAUGUGAAGUUACUUAAACAACCAGGAGGUUGGCUUAGAAGCAGCCAUCCUUUAAAGAAAGCGUAAUAGCUCACUGGUCUAGUGAUUUUGCGCGGAAAAUAUAACGGGGCUAAAGUAAGUACCGAAGCUGUAGACUUGCACACAACUU
rnacentral:rRNA from 1 species